AGCAGCCGCGGUAAUUCCAGCUCCAAUAGCGUAUAUUAAAGUUGUUGCAGUUAAAAAGCUCGUAGUUGAAUUUCGGGAUCAAUUUAUCGGUCGUGCCAAUGGUAUGAACUGGUACAAUUGGUUUCUUCCUUCUGAUAAAGCGUGAUGCCAUUAACUUGGUGUCGCCGGGGAAUCAGAACUGUUACUUUGAAAAAUUAGAGUGUUUAAAGCAGGCUUAGGCUUGAAUACAUUAGCAUGGAAUAAUGAAAUAGGACGUUUGAUCCUAUUUUGUUGGUUUCUAGGAUCGACGUAAUGAUUAAUAGGGAUAGUUGGGGGCAUUAGUAUUCAAUUGUCAGAGGUGAAAUUCUUGGAUUUAUUGAAGACUAACUACUGCGAAAGCAUUUGCCAAGGAUGUUUUCAUUAAUCAAGAACGAAAGUUAGGGGAUCGAAGACGAUCAGAUACCGUCGUAGUCUUAACCAUAAACUAUGCCGACUAGGGAUCGGAUGAUGUUAAUUUUUUAAUGACUCAUUCGGCGCUUUU
rnacentral:rRNA from 1 species